UGAGGAAUAUUGGUCAAUGGGCGGAAGCCUGAACCAGCCAUGCCGCGUGCAGGACGACGGCCCUACGGGUUGUAAACUGCUUUUCCGGGGGAAGAAUAACCCCCCUGCGGGGGGGGAUGCCGGUACCCCGGGAAUAAGGAUCGGCUAACUCCGUGCCAGCAGCCGCGGUAAUACGGAGGAUCCUAGCGUUAUCCGGAUUUACUGGGUUUAAAGGGUGCGUAGGCGGGCGCUUAAGUCCGCGGUGAAAGUCUGCGGCUCAACCGUAGGAUUGCCGUGGAUACUGGGGCUCUUGGAUUCGGUCGGGGCGGGCGGAAUGCGUGGUGUAGCGGUGAAAUGCAUAGAUAUCACGCAGAACGCCGAUAGCGAAGGCAGCUCGCCGGGCCGACAUCGACGCUGAGGCACGAAAGCGUGGGGAUCAAACA
rnacentral:rRNA from 1 species